GAAGAGACCCCUGCCAUUUCUCCCAGCAAGGGUCCCCAACCUGUGAAGGAAGGCAGUAUGCAGCUCCGCUUUGCCAGGCUCUCCAAGCUUGCCUCAGCCCCGACUUGGGGGUUCACGUGGGCCAAGGGCUAUGACCUGUACAGUGCCUAUGAUGAUACAAUACCAGCUUUGGAGAAAGCUCUUGUGAAAACGGACAUUCAGAUAGCUCUUCCUUCUGGUUGUUAUGGAAGAGUAGCUCCAUGUUCUGGCUUGACUGCAAAACACUUUAUAGAUGUAGGAGCUGUUGUCAUAGACGAAGAUUAUAGGGGAGAUGUUAGUGUUGUACUGUUUAAUUUUGGCAAGGAAAAGUUUGAAGUCAAAAAAGGUCACCGAAUUGCACAGCUCAUUUGUAAAUGGAUGUUUUUUUAUCCAGAAAUAGAAGAAGUUCGAGUUUUAGAUGACACUGAAAGGGGUGCAGGAGGUUUUGGUUCCACUGGAAAUAAUUAAAAUUUAUGUCAAGAAUAGAAAAUAAGAAAUUGUACUUUUUUCUUAAA